rnacentral:rRNA from 1 species
AUUGAACGCUGGCGGCAGGCCUAACACAUGCAAGUCGAGCGAGCGGCGGACGGGUGAGUAAUGCUUGGGAAACUGCCUGAUGGAGGGGGAUAACUACUGGGAACGGUAGCUAAUACCGCAUACUAUCAGCUGUGCUCAGCUGGGCUUAGCUAGUGGGUGUGGUAAUGGCUCACAUAGGCGACGAUCCCUAGCUGGUCUGAGAGGAUGACCAGCCACACUGGAACUGAGACACGGUCCAGACUCCUACGGGAGGCAGCAGUGGGGAAUCUUGCACAAUGGGCGAAAGCCUGACGCAGCCAUGCCGCGUGUGUGAAGAAGGCCUUCGGGUUGUAAAGCACUGUCAGCGGGGAGGCGUUACCCGCAGAAGAAGCACCGGCUAACUCCGUGCCAGCAGCCGCGGUAAUUC